rnacentral:lncRNA from 13 species
CAGAUAUUUGCCCUCACAUGUCUGGACAAGCCCAGGCAGUCCUCAGCCAACAGUUAAUUCCCCUUCCUCAUUUGGAAAUGUUAUUGUUUCCUUAAGUUUUUUUGUAAGUGACUUCCUCUUUUCCUUUGUUCUCUCUUGCCUUUACCCUUAUAGGAAAUGUUUUGAAUCAUUAGCCGAUCAGAAUAGUUUAGAUUGUGAGGCCCAGCUCCAGCCAAUGCAGUCAGGGCACGGCAGUAGGGGCCAGUCUGUAAGGGGAUCCAAGAUGGCUGAUCGCUAACAGCUC